rnacentral:rRNA from 1 species
UAGGGAAUCUUCGGCAAUGGGGGGAACCCUGACCGAGCAACGCCGCGUGAGUGAAGAAGGUUUUCGGAUCGUAAAGCUCUGUUGUUAAGGAAGAACGAGUGUGAGAACGGAAAGUUCAUACUGUGACGGUACUUAACCAGAAAGGGACGGCUAACUACGUGCCAGCAGCCGCGGUAAUACGUAGGUCCCGAGCGUUGUCCGGAUUUAUUGGGCGUAAAGCGAGCGCAGGCGGUUAGAUAAGUCUGAAGUUAAAGGCAGUGGCUCAACCAUUGUAGGCUUUGGAAACUGUUUAACUUGAGUGCAGGAGGGGAGAGUGGAAUUCCAUGUGUAGCGGUAAAAUGCGUAGAUAUAUGGAGGAACGCCGGUGGCGAAGGCGGCUCUCUAGUCUGUGACUGACGCUAAGGCUCGAAAGCGUGGGGAGCGAACAGG